rnacentral:rRNA from 1 species
AGUGAACGCUGGCGGUAGGCCUAACACAUGCAAGUCGAACGGCAGCACAGUAAGAGCUUGCUCUUACGGGUGGCGAGUGGCGGACGGGUGAGGAAUACAUCGGAAUCUACUUUUUCGUGGGGGAUAACGUAGGGAAACUUACGCUAAUACCGCAUACGACCUACGGGUGAAAGCAGGGGAUCUUCGGACCUUGCGCGAUUGAAUGAGCCGAUGUCGGAUUAGCUAGUUGGCGGGGUAAAGGCCCACCAAGGCGACGAUCCGUAGCUUGUCUGAGAGGAUGAUCACCCACACUGGAACUGAGACACGGUCCAGACUCCUACGGGAGGCAGCAGUGGGGAAUAUUGGGCAAAGGGCGCAAGCCUGAUCCAGCCAUCCCGCGUGGGUGAAGAAGGCCUUCGGGUUGUAAAGCCCUUUUGUUGGGAAAGAAAAGCAGCAGGUUAAUACCCCGCUGUUCUGACGGUACCCAAAGAAUAAGCACCGGCUAACUUCGUG